rnacentral:rRNA from 1 species
UGACCUCGAUCAUGGUAG